rnacentral:rRNA from 1 species
CCUACGGGAGGCAGCAGUGGGGAAUAUUGCACAAUGGGCGAAAGCCUGAUGCAGCAACGCCGCGUGAAGGAAGAAGGGGUUCGGCUCGUAAACUUCUAUCAACAGGGACGAAAGAAAUGACGGUACCUGAAUAAGAAGCCACGGCUAACUACGGGCCAGCAGCCGCGGGAAGACGUAGGGGGCAAGCGUGAUCCGGAAUUACUGGGUGUAAAGGGUGAGUAGGCGGCAUGGUAAGCCAGAUGUGAAAGCCUUGGGCUUAACCCGAGGAUUGCAUUUGGAACUCUCAAGCUAGAGUACAGGAGAGGCAAGCGGAAUUCCUAUUGUAGCGGUGCAAUGCGUCGAUAUUAGG